GUAGCUUUCAAGUUAGAUAUGUCCAAAGCCUAUGAGAAGAGAGGGGGGGGGGGGGAGUGGAGUUACUUAAGAGCUAUAUUUGAAUAUAUAGGAUUUAAUCAAACUUGGUGUGAUAAGAUUAGCUAUUUCCUUAGCAUUGUUUCUUAUUUUGUUACGUUAGAAGUUUGUAGCUUUUUUUUUCCUUUUUGAACCCUCUCGUGGCAUUCGUCAGGGAUGCCCUUUGAGUGCUUAUCUUUUUAUUAUUGCUAUGGAAGGCUUGUUAGGGAUUUGGAUGUUUUUUGAGGAAUUAAGGUAGAAAGGAACUCUUGAAAUCACUCAUCUCCUCUCUGCAAAUGACAUGUCUAUCUUUUGUCGUGCUAAUGAGAAUGGUAUGUCUACUUUACAAGCCAUUUUAAAUUUAUUCAAGAUAUCUCUGGCCAGUAAAUUAAUUUAUGAAUAUUGUGCUGUGUAGACUUGGAAUUAGUUCCAUUUUAGAUAAAUCCUCUUAUCUAGGUAUUCCUAUGUUCGACACUGGUGCCAUUUAGUCCAAAGGAUUGAAAAGUUUUUAGGAGGUUGGAACGCCCUACUUUUGUAUCAAGUUGGAAGGACAGUUCUAAUCAAGUUUGUAUCAGAAAAGAAUUUAGGGGAUUCGAGCUAGGUUCACGCAUAGCCAGAUGGUCUUUCAUCCUUCUACAUGAUUCUCAAAUUUUUCUUGGUUGCAACGAAUUAUGGCUAUGUAGGGUCGCCACAAGAAUCUGAGAUUCGUGGAAUGCUUCAAGGGCUGCAGCAAGUGAAGGAACAUGGAUGGAUAGCAUUGUCAGUAUGAAUAGAUUGUGAGCAAGUGGUAAUGUGGCUUAAACAGGGAACAGCAGAAAGGUGGCCUAGGGUGAUCAACUUCUUUUGGGAACGAAACUUGGCUGCAAUAUGGAAUCUUGGGGGUAGGUUGUAAGAUUCUACCUUAGGAUAGUAUUUUUCACCUUUGCCCCUGGGAUUCCAUUUCACUGGCUGCUACCUAGGAUACCUCUUGAAGAAAAAACAUCGAUGUUUUCUCUAUUGCCCCAUAAAUGGGUGUAUAAGGCCUGUACAAAUAAACUCUGUUUUAUCUCCUUUGUGAUUGUAGGCAGUGUGUGUAAAUUUCUAUUUAAAUGGUAUGCUUUGUUUUUCAUAAAA